rnacentral:rRNA from 1 species
AUUGAACGCUGGCGGCAUGCUUUACACAUGCAAGUCGAACGGCAGCGCGGGCUUCGGCCUGGCGGCGAGUGGCGAACGGGUGAGUAAUGCAUCGGAACGUGCCCAGUAGUGGGGGAUAGCCCGGCGAAAGCCGGAUUAAUACCGCAUACGACCUGAGGGUGAAAGCGGGGGACCGAAAGGCCUCGCGCUAUUGGAGCGGCCGAUGUCGGAUUAGCUAGUUGGUGGGGUAAAGGCUUACCAAGGCGACGAUCCGUAGCUGGUCUGAGAGGACGACCAGCCACACUGGGACUGAGACACGGCCCAGACUCCUACGGGAGGCAGCAGUGGGGAAUUUUGGACAAUGGGGGCAACCCUGAUCCAGCCAUGCCGCGUGCGGGAAGAAGGCCUUCGGGUUGUAAACCGCUUUUGUUCGGGAAGAAAUCCUCUGGGCUAAUACCCCGGGGGGAUGACGGUACCGGAAGAAUAAGCAACGGCUAACUACGUG